UACGGGGGGGGCAAGCGUUGUUCGGAAUUACUGGGCGUAAAGGGUUCGUAGGCGGCCAACUAAGUCAGACGUGAAAUCCCUCGGCUUAACCGGGGAACUGCGUCUGAUACUGGAUGGCUGGAGUUUGGGAGAGGGAUGCGGAAUUCCAGGUGUAGCGGUGAAAUGCGUAGAUAUCUGGAGGAACACCGGUGGCGAAGGCGGCAUCCUGGACCAAUACUGACGCUGAGGAGCGAAAGCCAGGGGAGCAAACGGG
rnacentral:rRNA from 1 species